GGGAAAGUGGCUCAGCGGUAGAGUGCUUGCCUCAUAUGUAUGAGGCCCUGGGUUCAAUUUCUCAGCACCA
rnacentral:tRNA from 1 species